CCUACGGGUGGCUGCAGUGGGGAAUAUUGCACAAUGGGCGCAAGCCUGAUGCAGCCAUGCCGCGUGUGUGAAGAAGGCCUUCGGGUUGUAAAGCACUUUCAGCGGGGAGGAAGGCGGUGAGGUUAAUAACCUCAUCGAUUGACGUUACCCGCAGAAGAAGCACCGGCUAACUCCGUGCCAGCAGCCGCGGUAAUACGGAGGGUGCAAGCGUUAAUCGGAAUUACUGGGCGUAAAGCGCACGCAGGCGGUCCGUCAAGUCGGAUGUGAAAUCCCCGGGCUCAACCUGGGAACUGCAUUCGAAACUGGCAGGCUAGAGUCUUGUAGAGGGGGGUAGAAUUCCAGGUGUAGCGGUGAAAUGCGUAGAGAUCUGGAGGAAUACCGGUGGCGAAGGCGGCCCCCUGGACAAAGACUGACGCGCAGGUGCGAAAGCGUGGGGAGCAAACAGGAUUAGAUACCCUAGUAGUC
rnacentral:rRNA from 1 species